UACGUAGGGUGCAAGCGUUGUUCGGAUUCAUUGGGCGUAAAGGGUGUGUAGGUGGCGCGCUAAGUCGGGUGUGAAAUUUCGGAGCUUAACUCCGAAACUGCAUUCGAUACUGGCGUGCUUGAGGACUGGAGAGGAGACUGGAAUUCAUGGUGUAGCAGUGAAAUGCGUAGAGAUCAUGAGGAAGACCAGUGGCGAAGGCGGGUCUCUGGGCAUUAACUGACGCUGAGGAGCGAAAGCAUGGGGAGCGAACAGG
rnacentral:rRNA from 1 species